UCUCAUUUUUCCUCUCUGGGCUACAUUCAGUCUCCUUUAGUCACUCACAAAUCCGCUAGUACUUGUCUCAGGAAAACUAACAAGAUUCUUCACAAACAUGAAUUCAAGAGAAAUGUCUGAUUUGACAAGUUACUAAAAGCAGAGUCACGUGUUUCUACCUUUAGCUUCACCCUGAUCUUUCAGAAAUACAGUGAGUAAUAUUAUAGCGACAAUGAUUCUUCAAAAGUCCACACCAGACAGCAAAACGCAAGCAAGAAAAAGCCUGAGCAACACUCACACAACUUUUUGAAAAACGAUCCGCUAGAAGAUGCGCUGUGAGUCUGUCUCCACUGCCCCCACUUAGUAUUUACAUCCACUCGUGCAUUCCUUCACCGGGCUCUACUUCACAGGCAGGCACGCAUGCACUUACUCAGGUGUUAACGCACCAGUUCUAGUUCAAAGGCCCUGGCUCAUUCCUUCAAUUACUUAAAGGAGUACCACCGAGCCGCCCGCCGGUAACAAGCCUCACAGGCCCUGCCCUCCGGGAACCUGGAGUCUGAGUGGAGCCUAGACGUGCACACCAAAAGCGAAAGCACAAGCGGUCGCCGUGACUGGAACCUUCCUAAGAGGGCAGAUGGGUCCAGCCCUCCGUAACAGGACCAACUUUAUUCUCUCGGGUUUCAGUGGCUGCCUCAAGGAGCUGAAGCAUUUUAACCCUGAGCCCAUGUUCUCCACCAGGCUUCAGUGCCAACUGAUGGAAAAGUAUGGGAACUCGUUUUGUGUGAGCCACAACACCGGCACAUCGAGAACUAAAACCUUAGGGACUGGUUUGCCAGUGGGUUGGCUUGUAGGCAUCGAGUGACCACCCUGAGCCAAGAGCGUGCUGGAAUUUCUCUGGUAGAAUGGUCAGAGCUGAACUCUGCAAUCUGAGGCCAUCCUGCAUCCUACUGGCUUCCAAGGCCAUCAUCACCCUUCCAGGCAGUAAUUCCCAAAGCUUGUGAAGCGUGUCAGGAGGCCCACAUUCCUCAGCUCUACAAUCAACCCAACUGACCCCUAUCAGACUCUCGGCGGCUUUGAGGCAAGGACGGUGCCACACUCAUCUUUAAUCCACCUCGGCUCCCUGUAAUCACAGCUCCUGGCAUACACUAGGUGCUCAGCAAACGUUGCUUAGGCUGUUUGUGCUCACACCGAAGAACAGUUUUCAGUCCUGCUUAUGUUAAACUCUGUCCUGUGAACAUCGUCUGGAGGACCCUCUCAUUCUUUCUCUCAAAUCCUGUCUAUGAAAAAGGUUCUGACUUCCCCGUCCCUGUACAGCAUCUAGCUAGAAGCUGCUAGAGGAUUUUAUAGGGUAUGAACAGUUAAGCCCUAAACUCUUACUGCCAUUUCUCACUGUUUCAUGUACACUUUCUCUUGCGCCUCAGCUGGGUCCAACUUGCUGAAGGCAGGUCUUCAAUGACCCAGCAUGCUCCCUGCCUCUCUCAAAGUACAUGGGCACUCAA